rnacentral:rRNA from 1 species
GGGCCCUACGGGAGGCAGCAGUAGGGAAUCUUCCACAAUGGGCGAAAGCCUGAUGGAGCAACGCCGCGUGGGUGAAGAAGGUCUUCGGAUCGUAAAACCCUGUUGUUAGAGAAGAAAGUGCGUGAGCGUAACUGUUCACAUUUCGACGGUAUCUAACCAGAAAGCCACGGCUAACUACGUGCCAGCAGCCGCAGUAAUACGUAGGUGGCAAGCGUUAUCCGGAUUUAUUGGGCGUAACGGGAACGCAGGCGGUCCUUUAA